rnacentral:rRNA from 1 species
CCCAGACUCCUACGGGAGGCAGCAGUGAGGAAUAUUGGUCAAUGGCCGGAAGGCUGAACCAGCCAAGCCGCGUGAAGGACGAAGGUGCCAAGCAUUGUAAACUUCUUUUGUCAAGGGACAAAAUCAGGCUCGAGAGCCUGACCGAGGGUACUUGAAGAAAAAGCAUCGGCUAACUCCGUGCCAGCAGCCGCGGUAAUACGGAGGAUGCGAGCGUUAUCCGGAUUUAUUGGGUUUAAAGGGUGCGUAGGCGGACUUUUAAGUCAGCGGUAAAAGCCCGGGGCUCACCCCCGGCGAGCCGUUGAAACUGCAUCCCUUGAGUGCGCGAGAAGUAUGCGGAAUGCGUGGUGUAGCGGUGAAAUGCAUAGAUAUCACGCAGAACUCCGAUUGCGAAGGCAGCAUACCGGCGCGCAACUGACGCUCAUGCACGAAAGCGUGGGUAUCGAACAGGAUUAGAUACCCCAGUAUU